GAUGAACGCUGGCGGCGUGCCUAAUACAUGCAAGUCGAGCGAACAGAUGAGGAGCUUGCUCCUCUGACGUUAGCGGCGGACGGGUGAGUAACACGUGGAUAACCUACCUAUAAGACUGGGAUAACUUCGGGAAACCGGAGCUAAUACCGGAUAAUAUAUUGAACCGCAUGGUUCAAUAGUGAAAGACGGUUUUGCUGUCACUUAUAGAUGGAUCCGCGCCGCAUUAGCUAGUUGGUAAGGUAACGGCUUACCAAGGCAACGAUGCGUAGCCGACCUGAGAGGGUGAUCGGCCACACUGGAACUGAGACACGGUCCAGACUCCUACGGGAGGCAGCAGUAGGGAAUCUUCCGCUAUGGGCGAAAGCCUGACGGAGCAACGCCGCGUGAGUGAUGAAGGUCUUCGGAUCGUAAAACUCUGUUAUUAGGGAAGAACAAAUGUGUAAGUAACUAUGCACGUCUUGACGGUACCUAGUCAGAAAGCCACGGCUAACUACGUG
rnacentral:rRNA from 1 species